rnacentral:rRNA from 1 species
GACGAACGCUGGCGGCGUGCUUAACACAUGCAAGUCGAACGGAAAGGCCCUGCUUUUGUGGGGUGCUCGAGUGGCGAACGGGUGAGUAACACGUGAGUAACCUGCCCUUGACUUUGGGAUAACUUCAGGAAACUGGGGCUAAUACCGGAUAGGAGCUCCUGCUGCAUGGUGGGGGUUGGAAAGUUUCGGCGGUUGGGGAUGGACUCGCGGCUUAUCAGCUUGUUGGUGGGGUAGUGGCUUACCAAGGCUUUGACGGGUAGCCGGCCUGAGAGGGUGACCGGCCACAUUGGGACUGAGAUACGGCCCAAACUCCAACGGGAGGCAGCAGUGGGGAAUAUUGCACAAUGGGCGGAAGCCUGAUGCAGCAACGCCGCGUGCGGGAUGACGGCCUUCGGGUUGUAAACCGCUUUCGCCUGUGACGAAGCGUGAGUGACGGUAAUGGGUAAAGAAGCACCGGCUAACUACGUG